AUAACUCUUUUUCGUUCAUCCCAAAGGUUCACAAAAUCAUCAUGCAUCAAUCAAAUCAGAGGUAAAACAAUGGUCUAUCACUACCCAUGACAUAUUAUCACAUAAUACCCGUUAAUCGAUGAUAAACCCCCCUUACCUGAGUUAAUCCGGCAAAUUCUGCAACUUCAAGCUCUUCCUCUUCUCUUGCUCUGCCUUUUUGCCCUUUUUCCUCUUUCA
rnacentral:lncRNA from 1 species